rnacentral:rRNA from 1 species
AGUGAACGCUGGCGGUAGGCCUAACACAUGCAAGUCGAACGGCAGCACAGUAAGAGCUUGCUCUUACGGGUGUCGAGUGGCGGACGGUCGAGGAAUACAUCGGAAUCUACUUUUUCGUGGGGGAUAACGUAGGGAAACUUACGCUAAUACCGCAUACGACCUACGGGUGAAAGCAGGGGAUCUUCGGACCUUGCGCGAUUGAAUGAGCCGAUGUCGGAUUAGCUAGUUGGCGGGGUAAAGGCCCACCAAGGCGACGAUCCGUAGCUGGUCUGAGAGGAUGAUCAGACACACUGGAACUGAGACACGGUCCAGACUCCUACGGGAGGCAGCAGUGGGGAAUAUUGGACAAUGGGCGCAAGCCUGAUCCAGCCAUACCGCGUGGGUGAAGAAGGCCUUCGGGUUGUAAAGCCCUUUUGUUGGGAAAGAAAAGCAGCAGGUUAAUACCCCGCUGUUCUGACGGUACCCAAAGAAUAAGCACCGGCUAACUUCGUG